rnacentral:ribozyme from 1 species
CUUUUUUUUUUUUUUUUUUUUUUUUUAAUUAUUGCUUCGAAAGG